rnacentral:rRNA from 1 species
UUCGGAAAUGUGUGUCCAAGCAGCAAGUCUGAGAACGAGUGAAAUGCUUUUUCUCUCAAGGACAAGCUGUGAUGGGGAGCGAAAUUUAGUAGCGAAGUUCCUGAUGUCACACUGCCAAGAAAAGCUUCUAGUGAGAAAGUAACUGCCCGUACCGCAAACCGACACAGGUAGUUGAGGAGAGAAUCCUAAGGUGUGCGAGAGAACUCUCGUUAAGGAACUCGGCAAAAUGACCCCGUAACUUCGGGAGAAGGGGUGCUGACCGCAAGGUCAGCCGCAGUGAAUAGGCCCAAGCGACUGUUUAUCAAAAACACAGGUCUCUGCAAAAUCGAAAGAUGACGUAUAGGGGCUGACGCCUGCCCGGUGCUGGAAGGCUAAGAGGAGAGGUUAGCGCAAGCGAAGCUUUGAAUUGAAGCCCCAGUAAACGGCGGCCGUAACCAUAACGGUCCUAAGGUAGCGAAAUUCCUUGUCGGGUAAGUUCCGACCCGCACGAAAGGCGUAACGAUUUGGGCACUGUCUCAACGAGAGACUCGGUGAAAUUAUAGUACCAGUGAAGAUGCUGGUUACCCGCGACAGGACGGAAAGACCCCAUGGAGCUUUACUGCAGUUUGAUAUUGCGUGUUUGUAUCACAUGUACAGGAUAGGUAGGAGCCGAAGAUACCGGGACGCCAGUCUCGGAGGAGGCAACGGUGGGAUACUACCCUUGUGAUAUGACCACUCUAACCCGCUGCCCUUGGCGAGCAGGGAGACAGUGUCAGACGGGCAGUUUGACUGGGGCGGUCGCCUCCAAAAAUGUAACGGAGGCGCCCAAAGGUUCCCUCAGAAUGGUUGGAAAUCAUUCGUAGAGUGUAAAGGCAGAAGGGAGCUUGACUGCGAGACCUACAAGUCGAGCAGGGACGAAAGUCGGGCUUAGUGAUCCGGUGGUUCCGCAUGGAAGGGCCAUCGCUCAACGGAUAAAAGCUACCCUGGGGAUAACAGGCUUAUCUCCCCCAAGAGUUCACAUCGACGGGGAGGUUUGGCACCUCGAUGUCGGCUCAUCGCAUCCUGGGGCUGUAGUCGGUCCCAAGGGUUGGGCUGUUCGCCCAUUAAAGCAGUACGCGAGCUGGGUUCAGAACGUCGUGAGACAGUUCGGUCCCUAUCCGUCGCGGGCGUUGGAAAUUUGAGAGGAGCUGUCCUUAGUACGAGAGGACCGGGAUGGACACACCGCUGGUGUACCAGUUGUUCUGCCAAGAGCAUCGCUGGGUAGCUAUGUGUGGACGGGAUAAACGCUGAAAGCAUCUAAGCGUGAAGCCCCCCUCAAGAUGAGAUUUCCCAUCACUUUAAGUGAGUAAGACCCCUGAGAGAUGAUCAGGUAGAUAGGUUGGGAGUGGAAGUACAGCGAUGUAUGGAGCGGACCAAUACUAAUCGGUCGAGGACUUAACUG